UGCAGUCGAGCGGACAGAUGGGAGCUUGCUCCCUGAUGUUAGCGGCGGACGGGUGAGUAACACGUGGGUAACCUGCCUGUAAGACUGGGAUAACUCCGGGAAACCGGGGCUAAUACCGGAUGCUUGUUUGAACCGCAUGGUUCAAACAUAAAAGGUGGCUUCGGCUACCACUUACAGAUGGACCCGCGGCGCAUUAGCUAGUUGGUGAGGUAACGGCUCACCAAGGCAACGAUGCGUAGCCGACCUGAGAGGGUGAUCGGCCACACUGGGACUGAGACACGGCCCAGACUCCUACGGGAGGCAGCAGUAGGGAAUCUUCCGCAAUGGACGAAAGUCUGACGGAGCAACGCCGCGUGAGUGAUGAAGGUUUUCGGAUCGUAAAGCUCUGUUGUUAGGGAAGAACAAGUACCGUUCGAAUAGGGCGGUACCUUGACGGUACCUAACCAGAAAGCCACGGCUAACUACGUGCCAGCAGCCGCGGUAAUACGUAGGUGGCAAGCGUUGUCCGGAAUUAUUGGGCGUAAAGGGCUCGCAGGCGGUUCCUUAAGUCUGAUGUGAAAGCCCCCGGCUCAACCGGGGAGGGUCAUUGGAAACUGGGGAACUUGAGUGCAGAAGAGGAGAGUGGAAUUCCACGUGUAGCGGUGAAAUGCGUAGAGAUGUGGAGGAACACCAGUGGCGAAGGCGACUCUCUGGUCUGUAACUGACGCUGAGGAGCGAAAGCGUGGGGAGCGAACAGGAUUAGAUACCCUGGUAGUCCACGCCGUAAACGAUGAGUGCUAAGUGUUAGGGGGUUUCCGCCCCUUAGUGCUGCAGCUAACGCAUUAAGCACUCCGCCUGGGGAGUACGGUCGCAAGACUGAAACUCAAAGGAAUUGACGGGGGCCCGCACAAGCGGUGGAGCAUGUGGUUUAAUUCGAAGCAACGCGAAGAACCUUACCAGGUCUUGACAUCCUCUGACAAUCCUAGAGAUAGGACGUCCCCUUCGGGGGCAGAGUGACAGGUGGUGCAUGGUUGUCGUCAGCUCGUGUCGUGAGAUGUUGGGUUAAGUCCCGCAACGAGCGCAACCCUUGAUCUUAGUUGCCAGCAUUCAGUUGGGCACUCUAAGGUGACUGCCGGUGACAAACCGGAGGAAGGUGGGGAUGACGUCAAAUCAUCAUGCCCCUUAUGACCUGGGCUACACACGUGCUACAAUGGACAGAACAAAGGGCAGCGAAACCGCGAGGUUAAGCCAAUCCCACAAAUCUGUUCUCAGUUCGGAUCGCAGUCUGCAACUCGACUGCGNGAAGCNGGAAUCGCUAGUAAUCGCGGNUCANC
rnacentral:rRNA from 1 species